AAUUCUCAACCUUAUUAGCUUCUGCUAAUAAUGGCUUGGAUGUGGGGGUUUUUGCUGGCUUUGUUAAAAGGUCUGCUCCCCUUAAAUUUAUUAGCCGGUACCCCGCAUGGACUGUCUAUUGGUGUGAUAAUUAUCUACGCCGUGGAUGUCUGUUUUAAUGGGUUGUGCUGCUUCUAACAGUCUUUUUAUUAAGACAAUACAAUGACA
rnacentral:misc_RNA from 1 species